GGGGUUGUGGCUCAGCGGUAGAGCACUCGCAUUGAAUGUGCGAGGCCCUGGGUUCAAUCCUCAGCACCACA
rnacentral:tRNA from 1 species